CCAUUUUACAGAACAAGAAAUGAGCUCAGCGACAUCAAGAAACUUCCUCAUGCUUACCAAGCUGGCAAUGCAGACAGAUGCACAAAACUGACUUCACCGGCAGCCUUCUCUCAGAGGGAGUGGCCUGGAUAUACGUACUUCUCACUGCCUGUCCCAGGCUAGAAGUCCCACCGUAGAGGCCACAUCCCAUGGAAAAGCAUGGAAAAAACAUAUCAUCCUAUAUCACCCCAGGGAGGUGCCACUGAGCACACAGUCUCCUCAGCAUUUGAGGUCAGAAAACACUGGUCACAUUAAAGUAGCCAAGCACUGUCAACAGCAAAGGUGAACGCUGAAAGAAUUUAGAGAAGUCUUCUAAGGCUGAGGUCCAGCAGAGAGAGGGACACCAGGGAGGUGUUUCAUCACGUAGCUAUUUACUAGGAGCUGAGACUAAACCGGCAUGGAGGAGGAGGAAAAGGACAAAGGCCAUAGCUGGGGAAGAAACAGCCAGCCUACUUGCCCAGGCUACAGGAGGGGCUGCUUACUACUGUUCCAGUGUCAUCAUCUGCACCUGAAAUGUUCGCUUCUGGCAUUUUGUGGGCAAUAAAUACAAAGUGAAUGCUGCUGACUAAUGAACAAGCUAAGAUACUCUUUGAAUGGGCACACACACACACACACACACA